CCUGGCUCAGGACGAACGCUGGCGGCGUGCUUAACACAUGCAAGUCGAACGAUGAACCACUUCGGUGGGGAUUAGUG
rnacentral:rRNA from 1 species